CAGUAGCCGCGGGAACACGGAGGGAGCUAGCGUUGUUCGGAAUUACUGGGCGUAAAGCGCACGUAGGCGGCUUUGUAAGUUAGAGGUGAAAGCCUGGAGCUCAACUCCAGAAUUGCCUUUAAGACUGCACCGCUUGAAUCCGAGAGAGGUGAGUGGAAUUCCGAGUGUAGAGGUGAAAUUCGUAGAUAUUCGGAAGAACACCAGUGGCGAAGGCGGCUCACUGGCUCGGUAUUGACGCUGAGGUGCGAAAGCGUGGGGAGCAAACAGGAUUAGAUACCCCGGUAGUCCCUGUCUCUUAUAC
rnacentral:rRNA from 1 species